GGGUGGGUAGCUGAUGAGGUCUUAGCGCCGGAUUGAAGUCCCGGAGAUGGCGGUUCGAUACCGCCCCCACCCACCA
rnacentral:tRNA from 1 species